rnacentral:rRNA from 1 species
GUAGGUAACCUGCCUUGUAGCGGGGGAUAACUAUUGGAAACGAUAGCUAAUACCGCAUAACAAUGGAUGACACAUGUCAUUUAUUUGAAAGGGGCAAUUGCUCCACUACAAGAUGGACCUGCGUUGUAUUAGCUAGUAGGUGAGGUAAUGGCUCACCUAGGCGACGAUACAUAGCCGACCUGAGAGGGUGAUCGGCCACACUGGGACUGAGACACGGUCCAGACUCCUACGGGAGGCAGCAUG